GUUUAUAUUUUCAAUCGUUUCCAUUCGAUCAACUUUCUAAGUAAUAAAGCCUUAUAGAAAAAUGUCCAAAACUUGGUACUAAUUAUAGUAAUUUACUGUGAAUAGAGUUAAGAUUCCAUUUGAUUUUGAAUAACGUACGGCUUAAAGAAAACCGAGAGAGAUGGCGCUGUUUGGCGUUUAGCCCUAUAAGUUAGCAGACGCUCGCGACUUCGUCUGCGUGGAAAUCGAUGUAAACUUUCAACCAAAGAGUAGAAUUGAACAGAGAGAGCGCACGGAACACGACGGUGACGUAGCUGCUCCAAAUACAAAAUUAAAAACGAUAAACGAAUACAUUCAACGAAGUCAGUACGACUGACGACACGAAGCGUCGCUUUACGGCUUCAGUAUAUUUCAAUGGUAUUAAAAAAAUGGCGUCUUGUGUUUUUAAAUAUUAUGUUAAAAACUGUUUACACAAACUAAACAAAUAAGAUGGAGUAUUUUUUGUUUGGUAAUUGAUUAUUAUAUUAAUUUAUUUAAUUGUUGUUACUGUUAACUUUUGAAAUAUAAAUUAUGAAAAAAGUAUACAGACGGAUGUCAAGGAGACGCGUGACAUUUCUUUGUUUCAUGGCUUUCUCCGGCUUCACCACGCUGCUUAUAAAUAUUCAGUCUGGAUCAUUAUUUACUCUUUAUUCAAAACAUGAACGAUUUAUAUUUAAAAAACUUCAACCCAUUGUUAACCCUAUGGUCGAAUUUUGAAAAACCUUGAAUGAAAAUAUUUUUAGUAUUUUACUGCUAGUCCACUAAACUAAUUUAUAAAACUGUAACUGUAAAAAACAAUAAAAUAUGUUUGGUUUCAGUAUCGGAUAGGUAUAAUAUAAUGCCCAAUAUAUGACCUCCAACUACAAUUUUCAAAAUAUCUUCAAUGUACAGAACAAUUGACCUGCUACAGUUUUAUUAAAAGUAGGUACUUAUAGAUUUUUAGCACAUUUUUAGACACACUUGAUUUUUAUUUAUGAUUCGAGUUCGUUUUGACAUGCCAAAUGGUCAGAAUGGUUGAAACAUCCGACCUUAUUAACCGACUUUAAAUGUUGGAGGCCACCGCCUUCAAACUGCUCAGAAGGUAGCACAUAGGUACGAUGUUAUUUUUUGCUUUUUAGUUUUGGUUAUAAUUUGUGUUGGAAGUCGGUUGAAUUUUUUUAGAAUAGCGCUUGCUCUUGGCACAAUUUUCUUUCUUAUUUGCAGUGUGAAGCUAUACGCCUCGUGUAGAAGGACUAGAAGUUUGAUGAAAUAAUACCUAAUAAUAAUCAAUGUACACAAGAAAUAAAAAGCCAACAUACUUUAGUCAUCAUCAUCAUCAUUAUUAAUCCAUAAUUGGCUCACUGCUGAGCUCGGGUCAUCUCUCAGAAUCUCGAGCUCAGCCCCCCCUGGGUCAAGCCAUUAGCCCACACGCGCAGAGAAUUAAGAAAAUUCUCUGGUAUGCAGGGUUCCUCACGAUGUUUUUAAUUCAGCGUUUGAGACAUGUGAUAUUUAAUUUUUAAAAUGCUUACAACUGAAAAGUUGGAGGUGUAUGCCCUGGACCGGAUUCGAACCCACACCCUCCGGGAUCGGGGGCAGAGGUCAUAUCCCCUGGGAUAUCACGGCUCACACAUACUUUAGUAGUCACGAGUAGUAGUGUUAUUUAACUUUACUUGGCUUUAAAGUUAAAGCUCUCAAAGUGAUCCGGUGAUAUUUUACUUUAUGUCAUCCAUUCAUAACACAAUCAAUCAAUUAAUUAACUAAGUACCUAAUCAAUUCUCACAUAAAAAAAACUAUUUCACUACUCUUGCUCAAAAACACUGUCAUAUUACCACUCCACAGCGGGGCUAAACAAACAUUUCAGUCUCUAGGGGCUAAAGUAAUUUUGUUUUUUUUUUAAUUCUUGUCUGUUACGAGUACUAGCCAAGUACUAGCCUACUAUAAAACGGAGGAGGUUUUAUUCGAAAAUAGAAUCAUUAUAGGUAAGGCCCUGAUUGUUUGGAAAAAUAAAUAAAAAACUUUAAAUUGGAAUGAAA